rnacentral:rRNA from 1 species
AUUGAACGCUGGCGGCAGGCCUAACACAUGCAAGUCGAGCGAGCGGCGGACGGGUGAGUCCUGUCUGGGUACCUGCCUGAUGGAGGGGGAUAACUACUGGAAACGGUAGCUAAUACCGCAUACCAUCAGAUGUGCCCAGAUUGGAUUAGCUAGUGGGUGGGGUACCGGCUAACCAAGGCGACGAUCCCUAGCUGGGCUGAGAGGAUGACCAGCCACACUGGAACUGAGACACGGUCCAGACUCCUACGGGAGGCAGCAGUGGGGAAUAUUGUACAAUGGGCGCAAGCCUGAUGCAGCCAUGCCGCGUGUGUGAAGAAGGCCUUCGGGUUGUAAAGCACUUUCAGUGGGGAGGCGUUACCCGCAGAAGAAGCACCGGCUAACUCCGUGCCAGCAGCCGCGGUAAUAC